rnacentral:misc_RNA from 1 species
GAUGAAGAACGUAGCGAAAUGCGAUAAGUAAUGUGAAUUGCAGAAUUCAGUGAAUCAUCGAAUCUUUGAACGCACAUUGCGCCCGCCAGUAUUCUGGCGGGCAUGCCUGUUCGAGCGUCAUUUCAACCAUCAAGCCCCAGGCUUGUGUUGGGGACCUGCGGCUGCCGCAGGCCCUGAAAACCAGUGGCGGGCUCGCUGUCACACCGGGCGUAGUAGAUUUUAUCUCGCUCAGGGCGUGCUGCGGGUUCCGGCCGUUAAAAAGCAUUUUUUACCCAAGGUUGACCUCGGAUCAGGUAGGAAGACCCGCUGAACUUAAGCAUAUCAAUAAGCGGAGGA